CCCUGAUCUACCAAGUGGGUAGCGAGGUCUUUGGCUGAAAGAAGGGGAUAGGACAAAGUUUAAGGUGUUAAAGAAGUAAGAACAGGAACAGUUGUGGUAGGCGGUUUGUAGGAAAUUGGGAAUGAAAUGAAAGAUUGUUCCUCUGAAAUGCCAACAUUGCAGAACGGUGUUGGAGGGUCAAUCAAUUUCCACCUCUUAACUUUCUCCAGAAGGGCUCAGCAAUUUGGGAUUCAGAGGAAAAAGAAAGAAUGAGGAGUCAGGAUGUCACACAAUUUUCACAAUCACCCUAUCGGUAAGAUACAUUACUGGCCCCAUUUUGUAAAGGAGAAAAUUGUCCAAGGUCAUGGGGCAAGUAAGUAAAGGAGUCUAGAUUCAGACAACCGUGUCUAGGAUGGCAAAGCACACCCUAAUCUGACCUUGCUCACUCUCCCAUGCCACAUCCUGUGUUCUCUAUGGCCAGCCCCUUAUACAUGUGGUUUCCUAUUUAAUUCUCAUGACAACCUUGCCAGAUAGGUAGUGUGCCCUCAUUUCACGACAGAUGGCAAAAGAGGGAUUUAAACCCAGUUCUCUUUCACCCCCAAAGUCCAUGUUAGUGCCUUAAACCCAGUUCUCUUUCACCCCCAAAGUCCAUGUUAGUGCCUUUACCCAGCCUCCUUCCUACUGUUUUGAUCACUGUGUGUGGAUUCUUAGGACUUCCCUUGGCUAGAUUAGGUUUAUAGACAGUACAGUACUCUGGACCAGACUUAUAGACAUAUCUUCAUUUUAUUGGAACUAAAAUGAUGCUAAUAGCUUUAUCUUGAUAUUCUUGCUUAUUAUCUUUGUUUACAUCAAAAACCCACUCAGGAGACUUGAAAUCCUUAAACCUUGAACUCCCUCCCCCCAAAAAUAAACAGUUUUGCACUUCCUCCUCCUAUACAAUUGUGAAAUUUUCCUAGUUUUCCCUUAUAAGCUUGUUAUUCACUACCAACAAAACGUUAGUGUCAACUGCAAACUGGAAGAUUAAAGCCUAUAUAAUUAAAACUCAAAGGUGACUGCCUUUGAGGAAGAAGAUCCCAGGAAUAAUAAGUUCCCAGCUGUGUGUUUCCUCUGGGUACAAAUUAAAGAGCCCAUGACCACCCUCCAGGGUUUCCCAAGCACAGCAGGUUUACUGAAGAAUUUGAAGGCCCUUUUGGUUGAUAUCACAAGUAGCUAGUGAGCCCAGCUUCUUGCUCUUCAAGUAACUUAAAAGAUUGAAUAGCAUUGGGCAGAGAGCACCAAGGACCCUGAGGAACUGGGCACAGCAAUUGUAAGAGUGGAAGGUGAGUCUUGCAUCUCUCAGGUCAAGUAGACACCAAACAAGAAAUUUAUAAUGGACGAUCGGCUCACAAAACUAAUAAUCUCAACCCAUAUGAUUUAGUCAAGAGUAGGAUCAAAUGCAUAUACAGAAAACCUAUCUAUCAGUGGCUUAAACGACAUAGGGGUUUCAUGGUUGUUUGUUUUGUGUCUCAUGUAAAAGAAGCCCAAAGGUGGGCAAUGUAUGGCCAACAUGCUGGCUCCAUUAUGUCAUGGAGACUCUGGCUUUGUCUAGCUUUCUGUUCCCUGCUCAGGGCAUCCAUCCUUGGUUGUAGAAUGGCUGCUGCAACUGUAGUCAGUGUUCCAGGCUGCAAGAAGGUAGGGCAGACACAGUGACUUCUGUUAAAUCUCUUCAGUCACCCUAUUUACAAGGGCGACUGUGAGGUGGAGUUUUCUGCUGGGUGCAUUGUUGCCUUUCGUAAACUCAGAUCUCGUUACUGAGGAAGAAAGGAGAAAUGGCUGUCAGGCAUGGUGCACCGUCUCUUUCUAUCUGGGUCUGCCUUUUGCAUCUUGCAAAGCCCUUUAGCUUGAUCCUAGAUUCCAGCAGGUGGUUCUCUUCAAGUUUUAGAGCAUUAUGUUCAUUGAUGCUGAUACCCAGGAAGGAGAACUCUGACGAUAUUCGCGUUCUCUCUUGUAUACCAUUUACCAGCAACACGUUGAUCACUGUCUUAGUCCAUUCUUGCUACUACAACAAAACACUUUAGGCUGGGUAAUAUGUAAAUAAUAAAAAUGUAUUACGGUUCUGGAGGCUGGGAAGUCCAAGAUCAAUGUGCUGACAGAUUCGGUGUCUGGUGAAGGCUUAUUUUCUGCUUCACAGAUGGCACCUUUUGCUGUGUCCUCACAUGGUGGAAGGGAAAAAAAGAACAAACUUGCUCCCUUAAGCGCUUUUA
rnacentral:lncRNA from 1 species